rnacentral:ncRNA from 2 species
CGUUGCGAACGCGGGAGCUCGCGAACUUUCGGGGGCUGAGAGGGCGCCGCCGCGCCGACCGCAUGAACCUGAACUGGGUAAUGCCAGCGGAGGGACGGAUCAUGGGCGACGUCG